CCCCUUCCCACCCCCCCCCCCCCCCCCCCCCCCCCCCUCCCGCCUCGAAUUAGUACUAUUAUUUAUUUAUUUAUUUUUCUUUCGGGGAGGUUCGGUUGGAGGGAAGUUUUGCGCCGCAGACGGGGCCGGGGCUGCUGCGGGCUGGAUGGGGAGGGCGGCACGUUGCGGGGGGGCGCGGGCAGUGCGGGACCCCGCCGGGGGUGGGGGGGGACCGGGCGGGGACCUGCCGCCGCUGCCGGCUCUUUGUCUGCUCGGGCAACUUGAACAAAAGGCGAAACUCGGAUGAACUCUCUCCAUCUCGCCCUCUCCUCGCCCGGGUUAUCUCAGCUGCGGCAACUUUAAGCCGGCGAGAUUGCCCCAACUUUCCCGCAGCUCCCUAACAGCGGGCAGCCCCCCUUUCAGGCUCCUCGGGCAGCACUUCGAGGACAGGCGAAGGUCAAAACAUGGUCGUCGGGAAAAUGGGAUGCUUGCCAAAAUUGUCGGUCUGUGCUAGGUGCCAUGCUGUGUUGUCCUUGGAAUGGUGGAAUACAACUUGGGUCUCCUCGGGGAUGGCUGACGUGGCACAAACUGUACCACGCAACUACCGAAUGCGUUCACCUUUUGGAUAUGUAUGUAAGUUAGUGGGCUACUGGAAGAAGAUGAAGAAUCUCUUGCAGAAAAGUGAGGAUAUUGUAGAAAAUGCUGCUGCAAACCAUUUGGAUUAUAUUGCCAUCCGACAUUGCGGUCCUGCAGCUAACAGAAGGAAUUUGCCAGAUCUUUCUUGUUAUGUGGUUGCUGACGCAUUUUCUUGGCACGGCAGUGGUGAUUGAUGAACACACUUUAGGCUUGAGCCACAGAACAGGGUGAGGAUUUACAGUUCUGGAGGAGAAGUAUGAAUGGGAUUGAAGGAUUUACAUGGAGGACUCUGAACUCCUUCCCUUCCUGAGUCAGGAAGGAUAGGUGAGUGAACUAUGGGAUAAUUUGUAAUUAACUUGGUUCUUACUUAAGAAGGUCUUUAGUCAAAACAGGAAGAUACAAUUCAGAUGAAUGUAUAUAAGAACAGAACAGACUUCAGAUACUGCAGACACACCCCUUAAUUAUAAACAACAGUAUUCAGAGUUUUAUGUUCCUGUUUAGUAAUAAGAGGGUUUCCAGAAAGGAUGGUGUGAGGUUGCUUCAAAUCACUCCUCCCCCAGCCUUCCAAAACUCUCUCUGAUACAGAACUUUUUUUUUUUUUCUUCUUUUUUUUUUUUUUUUUUGAUUUGGUAACUUUUCACCCAAAGUCAAUGAUGCCUGAGCUGCUAAAACGAUUUUAGCCAUUCCCGAAGCAGUUCUGAGUUAAGACUGCAACUGGAGAAGAGCGUGAGCUGGAGCUGUGUUAGACCCCUGCAUGUCACUUGUUAUAACAAAUAACGUGAGACAGAUGGGGCAGUAUUGGCCCAAGAUCCAUCCAUACUACAUCUGGACUGCUUGGGAAGUCUCUCAGAGUGGACAAGAUGUGGGAGUUGCUUCCAGUGGCUGCAGCCCUGGCUUGGAUUUCUCCUGCAUCCCUCCCCUGCUCCUUCCCUGCCCAGAAAGGGGAAGGGAGAAACUAGGAGCCAAACCCAGUAAGGUGGGGUAGAUGAGAGAUCACUUCAGGCUCACUCUGACUGUAGUUGCAUCAUUAGGAAAGGCCACGUAAUCUUUUUGUGGAAAUUAUAUCUUUACUUUGGGAGUACUUAACAUAUAACACCUUCAGGUCCUGACCAGCAAAUAAGAUCUAUGCUCCUUAAUACAAUCUUUUCAAAGGAAGUAGAUCCAAUUCUUGUUGUAAAAGCAUAAGAAAAUGGUGAAGCCUUAGCUUUUUGCAGGGAGUUCUCACUUGUGUGUCCGUAUGGGUGGGUCAGGAGUAUGUAUGUGAUCCUUUGUAGCUACCAGUGCUGUAGGAUUGCUGAGAAUUGAAGAACAGCAAGUGCCAAUUGUGACUAUGACUUGCACUGGCGGCAAUAUCGCAUCAACUGAGACUCCAUAAGAGGGUGCACUUCUGAUUGCAGUUAUCACUGCACAUACAGCUCUUGCACCAAGUUGUGACAACACAAUAAAUAGUUAAGAACUAGAGAAAAUGAGUUUUAA
rnacentral:lncRNA from 1 species